CCGCCAGAAUUCUACCGCCACGUGGGUGGUCUCUGCCAGCUUCCCGAGUUGUGCCCCCCGAGUGGAUGGACAAAAUAAUACAGAGACAUUAUAAAAGGCUCAGGGAUCCACACAGAAGAGAGAAGAGAAAGUGAAAGAUUAUAAAAUCCAGAAUGGAUGGAAGAUUAAUUGAAUGGGACCACUAUGUGACGUAGCUUCCAGAAAGUUAUCAUCAUGAUUCAGUGGGCGUUUGCAGUGAUGCAGCAGUUUCGGGGUCACCCUUACUCCCAUGUGACACCUCACCUAUUUUCUCCAAGAAGACUCAACAAAAUCAUUGGUUCAACACGUUGAACUUGUAGAGUUAUACUUUGGUCUGUCACUGGUGAUCUAUGAGGGAUGAGUGUUUGUUCAUGUAUUCCUAGGGAAAGCUAAUGCAACGGAAGCAAUUCUUCUCUGCUAAAAGUUCAUCUUGGUGCUAGCAAGAUGGCUCAGCAGCAAAGACCUUUGCUUCCAAUACUGAUGACAAGAAUUUGAGCCUUAAGUCAAACAUGGUAGAAGGGGAAGACCAACUCCAGAAAGUUACAUUUUUUUUGCACAAGAAAACACACAACAAAUAAUUUCUCUAAAAGUUCAUCUUGAUGUUUCAGCAAUUUAGUUACAACAUGAGUCUCUGCUUCUCAGGAACAUGGAUGAAGAGCUGCUUGAAGGAGUAUGGGCAGCUAAGAUCUCCUCAUCUUCAUGAUUAUUAUCUUCUCACUUCUUUGGAGCAGGAAGAUCAUGAGAAACCUUCUCUACAGUUUCAUACUAUGCCUGAUGUGUACCACUCUCCUCCCCCAGUGGAAAGGAGGAUGGACAAGACAAUGAACAUGUAUUGUUAUCUCCCCAGCAAUAGGAAUGUAACUUCUCAGCCACUGCUCCAGAACUAUGCCUGCCUGCCUGCCUGCCUUCUGCCUGCUUCCAUGUUCCCCACCAUGAUGGGCAUGGACUCUAAUCCUCAAAGAUGCCAUGCUUAUCAUCAAGAGGAUAAUGGACUGAAACUUUAAGCCAGCUCCAAUUAAAUGUUUUCCUUUAUAAGAGUUGCUAUGGUCAUGGUGUCUCUUCCCAACAAUAUAAACCCUAACUAAGACAGAAGUAUAAACUAUUAAAGCAGUUUUAUAAUGAAAUAGAUUCUUGGAGGGAUGGAGAUAUAGCUCAGUGGUAUAAUACUUUCAUAGUAUGUAGGGUCCCAAGUUUGAUUCCUAAUACCAUAGAAAGAAAAAGAAAAAGGAGAGGAG
rnacentral:lncRNA from 1 species